GUUCUCUCCAUAGUUUGGCUAUUGUGGAUGUUGCUGCUAUAAACAUUCGGGUCACUACGUUUGUAUCUUUAGGGUAAAUACCCAGUAGUGGGAUUGCUGGGCCGUAGGGCAGCUCUAUUUUCAACUUUCUGAGGAAGCUCCAUGCUGUUUUCCAGAGUGGCCGCACCAGCUUGUGUUCCCACCUGCAGUGUAGGAGGCUCCCCUUUCUCCACAACCUGUCCAUGUGCUACAGAGAUGAGAAAGUCACAAUCCCCAUCUGCAAGAAGUUCACAGUCUACUGGGGAGUAGACGUGCCCCCAAAUCAUUCCUGUAUACCGAGCUACUAGAAACAGAAUUUUCUGAAAGUAACAAGAAGAGGAAGCCUGAGUCUGUGCCGAAGCGUUCAGGGAGCAGAGAUGUAUUGAGAGGUGAUGAGGGAAGGCACAGAGAAUGUGAGGCCAGGCAGGUGAGAAGGGGUUGGGGGAAACCCACUGAUCAAACACACGGAUGGGU
rnacentral:lncRNA from 1 species